rnacentral:lncRNA from 1 species
GCGAUGGAGGGCAGUGCCCCUGUGUCAGAGAGAGCAUGCCACGGAGUACCACUCUCUAACCUUGGCCCAGCCCAGUUCCUUGGGUCACCAAUAGCCCUGGGUUGGAGUCUUUCCAUAACACUGACUAGCAAUGUGUGACUAUGGCAAAUGCAAUUCAUCUCUCAAGCCUCCAUAUCCUCAUCUGUAAACUGUAAUUAUAUUAGGUUGAACCAUGUGAAAUGGCUGCUCUUGAAGGUUUAAAAAAAAAAAAUUGAAUGCUGGCAGUUUCAUAAGGUUUAACCUGAUAACUGUCCUGCCUCUUUCCUAAGGCUGCUGGAGAAAUAAGAAGAGUUGAGAGGAAAGCAUUUUCAAAAGUCCUAGACUGACACAGGAGCACUGUCGUAUUAUUGCUUCCAGAAGCUUAGUAGAGACCCAUCUGGCAACAUUGGGCUAAACCAGUGAUCCACAACUUGGAAAUUUGGGGCUUGGACUUGGGGAGAGCCACCUGCUUCGAUGACUAAGAAAGGCAGACACUUCCACCUGGCCUCCCUGGCUCCUGGUUCUAACCAGCCCUCAAUGAGGCAGUACUGAGAAGACACAAGAAAAAGAAACAGCACACACAGGCACACAGUCUCCACCUCACUCGGUUCACCACCAGCAGGGGUCCGGCAUGCAGGAAGGACCACACCAGUAGCCUCACAGAGGAUGAGGGUGCAGACCAAGCCCCGGGCAGGCAUGUCCCCUACGGAGACGCCCCUUCGGUGUUCCGGGUCUGCACCUCGACUUCAGCGCUUGCCCAAGUCUGAGGAGCCCCCCUCUUCUGCCCCACCCCUGUGCGGGUGGGGCGCCUGGCUCAGGCUCGGAGACACUGACAGAAGACCCCAACCCACUGUCCGCACGGCGGAGGCAUCCCCGGUGUGACUGGAGAACCCCGCUCUACCUGCCGUCUUUGCUGGGGGCCCCACCCGUGCCCACUGUGCCCGCCCAACUCUGGG